rnacentral:rRNA from 1 species
AUCGAGGCGCUCGCGGCCUAUCAGCUAGUUGGCGGGGUAAUGGCCCACCAAGGCUACGACGGGUAGCUGGUCUGAGAGGAUGGCCAGCCACAUUGGGACUGCGACACGGCCCAGACUCCUACGGGAGGCAGCAGUGGGGAAUAUUGCGCAAUGGGCGAAAGCCUGACGCAGCAACGCCGCGUGAGCGAAGACGGCCUUCGGGUUGUAAAGCUCUGUCAGGAGGGACGAAGCCACUCGGGUGAAUAGCCCAGAGGGUGACGGUACCUCCAGAGGAAGCCCCGGCUAACUACGUGCCAGCAGCCGCGGUAAUACGUAGGGGGCAAGCGUUGUCCGGAAUCAUUGGGCGUAAAGCGCGUGUAGGCGGCCGACCAAGUCCGAUGUGAAAGCUCGGGGCUCAACCCCGAGUCUGCAUUGGAAACUGAUCGGCUAGAGUCCGGAAGAGGAGACUGGAAUUCCUGGUGUAGCGGUGAAAUGCGCAGAUAUCAGGAAGAACACCGGUGGCGAAGGCGGGUCUCUGGGACGGUACUGACGCUGAGACGCGAAAGCGUGGGGAGCAAACAGGAUUAGAUACCCUGGUAGUCCACGCCGUAAACGAUGGGCACUAGGUGUGGGAGGUGUCGAC